GACGAACGCUGGCGGCGUGCUUAACACAUGCAAGUCGAACGGUGAAGGGGUCUGCUUUUGUGGGCCCUGGAUGAGUGGCGAACGGGUGAGUAACACGUGAGUAACCUGCCCCCUUCUUUUGGAUAACCGCAUGAAAGUGUGGCUAAUACGGGAUAUUCUGGGUCUGUCGCAUGAUGGGUCUGGGAAAGAUUGCGCCUUUGGGUGUUUUUGGUGGGGGAUGGGCUCGCGGCCUAUCAGCUUGUUGGUGGGGUGAUGGCCUACCAAGGCGGUGACGGGUAGCCGGCCGGAGAGGGUGGACGGUCACACUGGGACUGAGACACGGCCCAGACUCCUACGGGAGGCAGCAGUGGGGAAUAUUGCACAAUGGGCGCAAGCCUGAUGCAGCGACGCCGCGUGAGGGAUGGAGGCCUUCGGGUUGUAAACCUCUUUCGCCAGUGAAGCAGGCCUGCUCCUUGUGGGUGUGUUGACGGUAGCUGGAUAAGAAGCGCCGGCUAACUACGUG
rnacentral:rRNA from 1 species